GGGUUGUGAGGUUAAGCGACUAAGCGUACACGGUGGAUGCCCUGGCAGUCAGAGGCGAUGAAGGGCGUGCUAAUCUGCGAUAAGCGCCGGUAAGGUGAUAUGAACCGUUAUAACCGGCGAUACCCGAAUGGGGAAACCCAGUGUGACUCGUCACACUAUCAUUAACUGAAUCCAUAGGUUAAUGAGGCGAACCGGGGGAACUGAAACAUCUAAGUACCCCGAGGAAAAGAAAUCAACCGAGAUUCCCCCAGUAGCGGCGAGCGAACGGGGAGGAGCCCAGAGCCUGAAUCAGCAUGUGUGUUAGUGGAAGCGUCUGGAAAGGCGCGCGAUACAGGGUGACAGCCCCGUACACAAAAGCGCAUGUGCUGUGAGCUCGAUGAGUAGGGCGGGACACGUGGUAUCCUGUCUGAAUAUGGGGGGACCAUCCUCCAAGGCUAAAUACUCCUGACUGACCGAUAGUGAACCAGUACCGUGAGGGAAAGGCGAAAAGAACCCCGGCGAGGGGAGUGAAAAAGAACCUGAAACCGUGUACGUACAAGCAGUGGGAGCACCCUUUGGGGUGUGACUGCGUACCUUUUGUAUAAUGGGUCAGCGACUUAUAUUCUGUAGCAAGGUUAACCGAAUAGGGGAGCCGGAGGGAAACCGAGUCUUAAUUGGGCGUUAAGUU
rnacentral:rRNA from 1 species